rnacentral:snRNA from 1 species
GCGCUCGCUUCCACAGCACAUAUACUAAAAUUGGAAUGAUACAGAGAAGAUUUGAUUGGCCCCUGCUAAAGGAUGACAUGCAAAUUUAUGAUUUGGUGGCUGUUCUU